UGGAAACUGUNUGACUUGAGUGCAGAAGGGGAGAGUGGAAUUCCAUGUGUAGCGGUGAAAUGCGUAGAUAUAUGGAGGANCACCAGUGGCGAAAGCGGCUCUNUGGUCUGUCACUGACGCUGAGGCUNGAAAGCGUGGGUAGCGAACAGGAUUAGAUACCCUGGUAGUNCACGCCGUAAACGAUGAGUGCUAGGUGUUAGGCCCUUUCCGGGGCUUAGUGCCGGAGCUAACGCAAUAAGCACUCCGCCUGGGGAGUACGACCGCAAGGUUGAAACUCAAAGGAAUUGACGGGGGCCCGCACAAGCGGUGGAGCAUGUGGUUUAAUUCGAAGCAACGCGAAGAACCUUACCAGGUCUUGACAUCCCGAUGCUAUUCUUAGAGAUAGGAAGUUACUUCGGUACAUCGGAGACAGGUGGUGCAUGGUUGUCGUCAGCUCGUGUCGUGAGAUGUUGGGUUAAGUCCCGCAACGAGCGCAACCCUUAUUGUUAGUUGCCAUCAUUAAGUUGGGCACUCUAGCGAGACUGCCGGUAAUAAACCGGAGGAAGGUGGGGAUGACGUCAAAUCAUCAUGCCCCUUAUGACCUGGGCUACACACGUGCUACAAUGGUCGGUACAACGAGUUGCGAGCCGGUGACGGCAAGCUAAUCUCUGAAAGCCGAUCUCAGUUCGGAUUGGAGGCUGCAACUCGCCUCCAUGAAGUCGGAAUCGCUAGUAAUCGCGGAUCAGCACGCCGCGGUGAAUACGUUCCCGGGCCUUGUACACACCGCCCGUCACACCACGAGAGUUUGUAACACCCGAAGUCGGUGAGGUAACCUUUUAGGGGCCAGCCGCC
rnacentral:rRNA from 1 species